UACGAAGGGUGCAAGCGUUACUCGGAAUUACUGGGCGUAAAGGGUGCGUAGGUGGUCGUUUAAGUCCGUUGUGAAAUCCCUGGGCUCAACCUGGGAAUGGCAGUGGAUACUGGACGGCUAGAAUGCGGUAGAGGGUAGUGGAAUUCCCGGUGUAGCAGUGAAAUGCGUAGAGAUCGGGAGGAACACCAGUGGCGAAGGCGGCCAACUGGACGAAUACUGACGCUGAGACACGAAAGCGUGGGGGAGCAAACAGG
rnacentral:rRNA from 1 species